rnacentral:rRNA from 1 species
AGAGAUGGAUUGGUGCCUUCGGGAACUCUGAGACAGGUGCUGCAUGGCUGUCGUCAGCUCGUGUUGUGAAAUGUUGGGUUAAGUCCCGCAACGAGCGCAACCCUUAUCCUUUGUUGCCAGCGGUUAGGCCGGGAACUCAAAGGAGACUGCCAGUGAUAAACUGGAGGAAGGUGGGGAUGACGUCAAGUCAUCAUGGCCCUUACGAGUAGGGCUACACACGUGCUACAAUGGCGCAUACAAAGAGAAGCGACCUCGCGAGAGCAAGCGGACCUCAUAAAGUGCGUCGUAGUCCGGAUUGGAGUCUGCAACUCGACUCCAUGAAGUCGGAAUCGCUAGUAAUCGUGGAUCAGAAUGCCACGGUGAAUACGUUCCCGGGCCUUGUACACACCGCCCGUCACACCAUGGGAGUGGGUUGCAAAAGAAGUAGGUAGCUUAACCUUCGGGAGGGCGCCUACCACUUUGUGAUUCAUGACUGGGGUGAAGUCGUAACAAGGUAAGCGUAGUGCU